AUCCAGCUGACGAGUCCCAAAUAGGAUAAAACAUGGAUCCUGGAU
rnacentral:hammerhead_ribozyme from 1 species